AACGAACGCUGGCGGCAGGCCUAACACAUGCAAGUCGAGCGAGGACUUCGGUUCUAGCGGCGGACGGGUGAGUAACGCGUGGGAAUGUGCCCUUCUCUACGGAAUAGCCCUGGGAAACUGGGAGUAAUACCGUAUACGCCCUAUUGGGGAAAGAUUUAUCGGAGAAGGAUCAGCCCGCGUUGGAUUAGGUAGUUGGUUGGGUAAUGGCCUACCAAGCCGACGAUCCAUAGCUGGUUUGAGAGGAUGAUCAGCCACACUGGGACUGCGACACGGCCCAGACUCCUACGGGAGGCAGCAGUGGGGAAUCUUAGACAAUGGGGGCAACCCUGAUCUAGCCAUGCCGCGUGAGUGAUGAAGGCCUUAGGGUUGUAAAGCUCUUUCAGCUGGGAAGAUAAUGACGGUUCCAGCAGAAGAAGCCCCGGCUAACUCCGUG
rnacentral:rRNA from 1 species